rnacentral:rRNA from 1 species
ACAUGCAUACAACAUAGAUUUAAUGCACCAAAUCCCAUUAGAACUCCAUAGUUAAGCACGCUUAGGCUAGAGUAGUACUAUGAUGGGUGACCGCUUGGGAAGUGCUAGUAUUUUACAUGGC